GUGCGGGCGGCCGCGGCCGGCGGUCGCGGCCGGGUGUCGGGUCCGGAAGCGGCCGCCCGGGCUCCUGCGUCCCAGUAGCCGAGGCUCGGCGGGCCGCCCCCCGAGCGCGGGCACCCGCGCCCUGGCCGGGGUCUGCCGGGAAGAUGGCGACCCCGGGCAUGAGCUGGCAGCAGCACUAUUACGGCGGCUCGGCGGCCAAAUUCGUCCCCUCGCCGGCCGCCGGGCAGCAGGCGGGGCACUGCAUGGACUACAGCCAGGACAUGCACCUGAAAAUGAGCAAGAAGAUCGCCCAGCUCACCAAGGUAAUAUAUGCUUUGAACACUAAAAAUGAUGAGCACGAAUCUGCAAUUCAAGCCCUCAAGGAUGCUCAUGAAGAAGAAAUCCAACAAAUUCUUGCAGAAACAAGAGAGAAAAUAUUGCAGUAUAAAAGCAGAGUAACCGAGGAGUUAGACCUUAGGAGAAAGAUUCAAGUUUUAGAAGCAUCCUUAGAAGAUCACAUAAAAAUGAAGCAGCAGGCUUUGACAGAAUUUGAGGCUUAUAAGCACCGAGUGGAGGACAUGCAGCUUUGUGCAGAAGCCCAGCAUGUCCAGCGCAUAGUAACUAUGUCUAGAGAGGUUGAGGAGAUUAGAAGGAAAUUUGAGGAAAGAUUACGGAGUUUUGGACAACUCCAGGUACAAUUUGAAAAAGACAAACGGUUGGCGUUGGAAGAUUUGAGAACCGCUCACAGACGGGAGAUCCAAGAGCUGCUAAAGUGCCAGCAGGAUCACAGUGCCUCAGUCAACAAGGGGCAGGAGAAGGUGGAGGAGCUGCACCGGAUGGAGGUGGAGGCCUUAAAUAAGACCCUGGAGGAGCUCAGGCUCGAGCGCAAGAAGCUCGUUGAGGAUUAUGAAGGCAAGCUGCAUAAAGCUCAGUCCUUUUAUGAACAUGAGCUGGAUACUUUGAAAAGGUCACAGCUUUUUACAGCAGAAAGCCUCCAGGCUAGCAAAGAUAAGGAAGCAGAUCUUAGAAAAGAAUUUCAGGGACAAGAAGCAAUUUUGCGAAAAACCAUAGGAAAAUUAAAGACAGAGUUACAGAUGGUACAGGAUGAAGCCGGAAGUCUCCAUGACAAAUGCCAAAAGCUUCAAAUAGCUCUGGUUACAGCGGAGAACAAUGUUCAGGUUCUUCAAAAACAGCUUGAUGAUGCCAAGGAGGGAGAAAUGGCCUUAUUAAGCAGGCACAAGGAGGUGGAAAGUGAGCUGGCAGCAGCCAGAGAACGUUUACAGCAGCAAGCCUCAGAUCUUGUCCUCAAAGCUAGUCAUAUUGGAAUGCUUCAAGCAACUCAAAUGACCCAGGAGGUUACAAUUAAAGAUCUAGAAUCAGAAAAAUCAAGGGCCAAUGAAAGAUUAUCUCAGCUUGAAGAAGAAAGAGCUUUUCUGCAAAGCAAAACUCAGAGUCUGGAUGAAGAGCAGAAGCAGCAGAUUUUGGAACUGGAGAAGAAAGUAAAUGAGGCAAAGAAAACUCAGCAAGAAUAUUAUGAGAUGGAGCUAAAAAACCUGCAAAGUAGACUGGAAGGGGAGGUGGCUCAGCUGAAUGAGGCCCAUUCUAAGACUUUGGAAGAAUUAGCUUGGAAGCACCACAUGGCAAUUGAGGCUGUCCACAGUAAUGCGAUUAGGGAUAAGAAAAAACUGCAGAUGGAAUUGGAGGAACAACAUAAAAAGGAAAAACUAAACCUGGAACAGGAUAAAGAUCAGCUUCAACAGGAGCUAGAAAACCUGAAGGAAGAAUUGGAAGACAAACUGCAUUCAGCCAAUCAAGAGAUUGGCCGCCUCCAAGAAAUGGUAAGCAAAAGCGAACAAGGUCUUGGCUCUGCCGAAGGACUCAUUGCCAGCCUUCAGGACUCCCAGGAAAGACUUCAGAAUGAGCUUGAUCUGACUAAAGGGAGGCUGAAGGAGACCAAGGAUGCUCUAUUAAAUGUUGAGAAUAAGCUAGAGCAAGAGAGGCGACAGCAUGAAGAAACAUUGGCUGCCAUGAAAGAAGAGGAGAAACUACAAGUGGACAGAAUGGCCCAUGACUUAGAGAUGAAAUGGACUGAAAACCUCAGACAAGAGUGUUCCAAACUUCGUGAAGAGUUAAGGCUUCAACAUGAAGAGGAUAAAAAGUCAGCAAUGUCUCAACUUUUGCAGUUAAAAGAGCGAGAGAAAAACGCAGCCAGGGAUUCAUGGCAGAAGAAAGUAGAAGAUCUCUUAAACCAGAUUUCCCUCCUGAAACAGAAUCUGGAGAUGCAGCUUUCCCAGUCUCAAACCUCUCUGCAGCAACUGCAGGCCCAGUUUACACAGGAGCGACAGCGACUGACACAAGAGCUCGAAGAAUUAGAGGAGCAGCAUCAACAGAGACAUAAAUCUUUAAAAGAAGCACACGUCCUUGCAUUUCAAACCAUGGAAGAAGAAAAGGAAAAGGAACAAAGAGCUCUUGAAAGUCAUUUACAACAGAAACAUUCUGCAGAGCUUCAAUCAUUAAAAGAUGCACACAGAGAAUCAAUGGAGGGCUUCAGGAUAGAAAUGGAACAGGAACUUCAGACACUUCGGUUUGAAUUAGAAGAUGAAGGAAAGGCUAUGCUUGCUUCCUUACGCUCCGAACUAAACCAGCAACAUGCAGCUGCAAUUGACUUGUUAAGGCAUAAUCAUCAUCAAGAAUUGGCAGCUGCUAAAAUGGAAUUAGAGCGAAGCAUAGACAUCAGCAGAAGACAGAGUAAGGAGCACAUGUGCAGAAUAACAGAUCUACAGGAUGAAGUAAGACACAGAGAGCAUCACAUCUCAGACUUGGAUAAGGAGGUGCAGCACCUUCAUGAAAAUAUAAAUGCCCUGACCAAAGAAUUGGAAUUUAAGGGAAAAGAAAUUCUCAGAAUACGAAGUGAAUCCAACCAACAGAUGAGGUUGCAUGAACAAGAUUUAAACAAGAGACUUGAAAAAGAGCUGGAUGUCAUGACAGCAGACCACCUCAGAGAGAAAAAUAUCAUGCGGGCAGAUUUUAAUAAGACUAACGAGCUACUCAAGGAAGUAAAUGCAGCUUUACAAGUGUCACUAGAAGAGAUGGAAGAAAAAUAUCUAAUGAGAGAAUCAAAACCAGAAGAUAUACAGAUGAUUGCAGAAUUAAAAGCCAUGCUUACAGAAAGAGACCAGGUCAUAAAGAAGCUAAUGGAGGAUAAUAAAUUUUAUCAGCUGGAAUUAGUCAAUCGAGAAACUAACUUCAACAAAGUGUUUAACUCGAGUCCUACGGUUGGUGUUAUUAAUCCACUGAUGAAGGCACUGUCCUCACAUGUAUUAUUUUUAAUGCAGCAAAAGAAGAAGAACGAUAAGUCACCAACAAACAGGUUUGUGAGUGUUCCCAAUCUAAGUGCUCUGGAAUCUGGUGGAGUGGGCAAUGGACAUCCUAACCGCCUGGAUCCCAUUCCUAACUCUCCCGUCCAUGAUAUUGAGUUCAACAGCAGCAAGCCACUUCCUCAGCCUGUGCCACCCAAAGAGCCCAAGACAUUUCUGAGGUAUCAUUAAGAUGCAUGUGCAUGGGCUCAAGGAACAUGGCUACUGGAGUUUCCAUUACACAUUGUUGCGUGCCUUGUAAUUGCCCCCAAAGACGUCCUCCUCAGAGUGAAGCUUCCCCGGUGGCUUCUCCAGAUCCCCAGCGCCAGGAGUGGUUUGCCCGGUACUUCACGUUCUGAAAGAACUGCUUUGGCACAGUUCUGUGUGGACUGUUACUAAGAGCAUGACCUUAUACAGAUCAUUAUGUGAGCAGGCUCUCCUGUGUCACACACUGUGAGAAAGUAUGUGUCUCUGCAGUUGAAAAUGCCCUGUACUUCCUGUGAUAUUUAUUGGACUCACUCUAAGGUACUAUAUUAUGUGUGUAAUUAUAACAGUUAUUUUUAUUUGAGAUGGAAGAAUCUUUAAUCUUUGUAAUUACUGCAUAAUAAAUUUUGUUAGAACAAACAA